rnacentral:rRNA from 1 species
UACGUAGGGGGCAAGCGUUAUCCGGAUUUACUGGGCGUAAAGGGAGCGUAGACGGCAGGGCAAGUCUGGAGUGAAAGGCAGGGGCCCAACCCCUGGACUGCUCUGGAAACUGUCCGGCUGGAGUGCAGGAGAGGUAAGUGGAAUUCCUAGUGUAGCGGUGAAAUGCGUAGAUAUUAGGAGGAACACCAGUGGCGAAGGCGGCUUACUGGACUGUAACUGACGUUGAGGCUCGAAAGCGUGGGGAGCAAACAGG